rnacentral:rRNA from 1 species
CCUACGGGAGGCAGCAGUGAGGAAUAUUGGUCAAUGGACGAGAGUCUGAACCAGCCAAGUAGCGUGAAGGAUGACUGCCCUAUGGGUUGUAAACUUCUUUUAUAUGGGAAUAAAAUGUUCCACGUGUGGGAUUUUGUAUGUACCAUAUGAAUAAGGAUCGGCUAACUCCGUGCCAGCAGCCGCGGUAAUACGGAGGGUCCGAGCGUUAUCCGGAUUUAUUGGGUUUAAAGGGAGCGUAGGUGGAUUGUUAAGUCAGUUGUGAAAGUUUGCGGCUCAACCGUAAAAUUGCAGUUGAAACUGGCAGUCUUGAGUACAGUAGAGGUGGGCGGAAGUCGUGGUGUAGCGGUGAAAUGCUUAGAUAUCACGAAGAACUCCGAUUGCGAAGGCAGUUCACUGGACUGCAACUGACACUGAGGCUCGAAAGUGUGGGUAUCAAACAGGAUUAGAUACCCGAGUAGUC